AACGAACGCUGGCGGCAGGCCUAACACAUGCAAGUCGAGCGAGGACUUCGGUUCUAGCGGCGGACGGGUGAGUAACGCGUGGGAAUGUGCCCUUCUCUACGGAAUAGCCCUGGGAAACUGGGAGUAAUACCGUAUACGCUCUUUUCGGGUAAGAUUUAUCGGAGAAGGAUCAGCCCGAGUUGGAUUAGGUAGUUGGGGGGGUAAUGGCCUACCAAGCCGACGAUCCAUAGCUGGUGUGAGAGGAUGAUCAGCCACACUGGGACUGGGACACGGCCCAGACUCCUGCGAGAGGCAGCAGUGGGGAAUCUUAGACAAUGAGGGCAACCCUGAUCUAGCCAGGCCGGGUGAGUGAUGAAGGCCUUAGGGUUGUAAAGCGCUUUCAGCUGGGAAGGUAAUGACGGUACCAGCAGAAGAAGACCGGGCUAACUCCGU
rnacentral:rRNA from 1 species